rnacentral:rRNA from 1 species
UACAGAGGGGGCAAGCGUUGUUCGGAAUUACUGGGCGUAAAGGGCGCGUAGGCGGCCUUCUAAGUCGAACGUGAAAUCCCCGGGCUCAACCCGGGAACUGCGUCCGAUACUGGGAGGCUUGAAUCCGGGAGAGGGAUGUGGAAUUCCAGGUGUAGCGGUGAAAUGCGUAGAUAUCAGGAGGAACACCGAUGGCGAAGGCAGGUCUCUGGGCCGAUACUGACGCUGAGGAGCGAAAGCGUGGGGAGCGAACAGG